GUAUAAUUAUCGGGUUUUGGUGCCCGCGCCCAUGUCCAUGAGCGCAGUUAAACUGGGAAACACGGAGCCUGCAACAGGCCAACGUGUGCUGCCCCCGCAACGGUAAGCAAAUGUCGCCCACGUAGCGACGAGCCGCCUCGAACGACCACUGUGCAUUUGGCAUGGGAAGGUGAGACGGCCGCAUUUGCCAGCCCGGAUACCGGCCAAAACAGGUGGAAGCGU
rnacentral:ncRNA from 2 species